rnacentral:siRNA from 1 species
UGGUGGACGCAACAACAGUCGU